CCUACGGGGGACAGCAGUGAGGAAUAUUGGUCAAUGGGCGGGAGCCUGAACCAGCCAAGCCGCGUGCGGGAAGAAGGUACAGCGUAUCGUAAACCUCUUUUGUCAGGGAACAAAGGCGGGGACUAGUCCCCGGAUGAGGGUACCUGAAGAAUAAGCAUCGGCUAACUCCGUGCCAGCAGCCGCGGUAAUACGGAGGAUGCGAGCGUUAUCCGGAUUUAUUGGGUUUAAAGGGUGCGCAGGCGGCCUGUUAAGUCAGCGGUAAAAGGCCGGGGCUCAACCCCCGCCGGGCGGUGGAACUUGGCGGGCUGGAGGUGGAGAGAGGUAGGCGGAAUGCGCGGUGUAGCGGUGAAAUGCUUAGAUAUCGCGAAGAACCCCGAUUGCGAAGGCAGCGUACCGGAUCGACACUGACGCUGAGGCACGAAAGCGUGGGUAUCGAACAGGAUUAGAUACCCGAGUAGUC
rnacentral:rRNA from 1 species